CCUACGGGUGGCAGCAGUGAGGAAUAUUGGUCAAUGGGCGCUAGCCUGAACCAGCCAAGUAGCGUGAAGGAUGACUGCCCUAUGGGUUGUCAACUUCUUUUAUAUGGGAAUAAGGUGCAGUAUGUAUACUGCUUUGCAUGUACCUUAUGAAUAAGGAUCGGCUAACUCCGUGCCAGCAGCCGCGGUAAUACGGAGGAUCCGAGCGUUAUCCGGAUUGAUUGGGUUUAAAGGGAGCGUAGGCGGGUUGUUAAGUCAGUUGUGAAAGUUUGCGGCUCAACCGUAAAAUUGCAGUUGAUACUGGCAGCCUUGAGUACAGAAGAGGUAGGCGGAACUCGUGGUGUAGCGGUGAAAUGCUUAGAUAUCACGAAGAACUCCGAUUGCGAAGGCAGCCUGCUGGACUGUAACUGACGCUGAUGCUCGAAAGUGUGGGUAUCAAACAGGAUUAGAUACCCCUGUAGUC
rnacentral:rRNA from 1 species